rnacentral:lncRNA from 1 species
GGCAGCGAAGCGGAGCUGAGGUGUUGCUAGCGUUGCCUGCGGCGCUUCCGGGUCCCUGCUCCACUCUCGGGAGGCGGAGGCGGGAACCUGAAACCAUGGCUGUGAGGCUGCUGCGGAGUCUGACAGGGUCCGGAGGCUGAUUUUGCGACGCCUGUCUGCGGGUCCCCUGAUCCCGGUUUAGGGUUAUCUAGGGUCGCGCCGUCCCGGCCCCUAGACCCUCAAAAUGACCGCCGCCUCCACCUCCAAGUGGGGGCUGGUCACGAACGUCGUAAACAGCAUAGUGGGGGUCAGCGUACUCACCAUGCCUUUCUGCUUCAAACAGUGUGGCAUUGUCCUGGGGGCCCUGCUCCUGGUCUUCUGCUCCUGGAUGACGCACCAGUCUUGCAUGUUCUUGGUGAAGUCGGCCAGCUUGAGCAAGAGGAGAACCUAUGCCGGCCUGGCAUUCCACGCCUACGGCAAGGCUGGGAAGAUGCUGGUGGAGACCAGCAUGAUUGGGCUGAUGCUGGGAUCCUGCAUUACCUUCUAUGUCGUGAUUGGUGACUUGGGGUCCAACUUCUUUGCUCCGCUGCUUGGAUUACAGGUAACCAGGACCUUCCGUGUAUUCCUGCUCUUUGCAGUAUCCCUGUGCAUCGUCCUCCCACUCAGCCUGCAGAGAAACAUGAUGGCCUCCAUCCAGUCCUUCAGUGCCAUGGCACUCCUCUUCUACACUGUCUUCAUGUUUGUG